rnacentral:rRNA from 1 species
AGUGAACGCUGGCGGUAGGCCUAACACAUGCAAGUCGAACGGCAGCACAGAGGAGCUUGCUCCUUGGGUGGCGAGUGGCGGACGGGUGAGGAAUACAUCGGAAUCUACUCUGUCGUGGGGGAUAACGUAGGGAAACUUACGCUAAUACCGCAUACGACCUACGGGUGAAAGCAGGGGAUCUUCGGACCUUGCGCGAUUGAAUGAGCCGAUGUCGGAUUAGCUAGUUGGUGGGGCAAAGGCCUACCAAGGCGACGAUCCGUAACUGGUCUGAGAGGAUGAUCAGUCACACUGGAACUGAGACACGGUCCAGACUCCGUAGGGAGCAGCAGUGGGGAAUAUUGGACAAGUGGGCGAAAGCCUGAUCCAGCCAUGCCGCGUGCGUGAAGAAGGUCUUCGGAUUGUAAAGC